UACGUAGGGUGCGAGCGUUGUCCGGAAAUUAUUGGGCGUAAAGAGCUCGUAGGCGGUUUGUCGCGUCUGCCGUGAAAGUCCGGGGCUCAACUCCGGAUCUGCGGUGGGUACGGGCAGACUAGAGUGAUGUAGGGGAGACUGGAAUUCCUGGUGUAGCGGUGAAAUGCGCAGAUAUCAGGAGGAACACCGAUGGCGAAGGCAGGUCUCUGGGCAUUAACUGACGCUGAGGAGCGAAAGCAUGGGGAGCGAACAGG
rnacentral:rRNA from 1 species